GAUGAACGCUGGCGGCGUGCCUAAUACAUGCAAGUCGAGCGAAAGGACGAGAAGUUUGUUUCUUGGAUGUUAGCCGCGGACGUGUGAGUAACAUGUGGAUCCCGUACUUAUAAGACUGGUAACAUUUCGGGAAACCGUAUCUAAUACCGUAUAAUCUUUUGAUGCAUGUGGUUCAAUAGUGAAUGACGGUCGUUCUGGCUCUUAUAGAUGGAUCCGCGCUGCAUUAGCUAGUUGGUAAGGUAACAGCUUACCAAGGCAACGAUGCAUAACCGAACUGAGAGGGUGAUCGGCCACACUGGAGCUGGGACACGGUCCAGACUACUGCGAGAGGCAGCAGUAGGGUAUGUUCCGCAGAAGGCGGGAGCCUGGCGGAGCAGCGCCGCGUGAGUGGUAGCGAUCUUCGGAUCGUAAAACUGUGUUAUUAGGGAAGAACAUAUGUGUAAGUAGCUGUGCAGAUCUUGACGGUACCUGAUCAGAAAGCCACGGCUAACUACGUG
rnacentral:rRNA from 1 species